rnacentral:rRNA from 1 species
GACGAACGCUGGCGGCGUGCUUAACACAUGCAAGUCGAACGGUAAGGCCCUUCGGGGUACACGAGUGGCGAACGGGUGAGUAACACGUGGGUGAUCUGCCCUGCACUUCGGGAUAAGCCUGGGAAACUGGGUCUAAUACCGGAUAGGACCCUGGGAUGCAUGUCCUGGGGUGGAAAGCUUUUGCGGUGUGGGAUGGGCCCGCGGCCUAUCAGCUUGUUGGUGGGGUGAUGGCCUACCAAGGCGACGACGGGUAGCCGGCCUGAGAGGGUGACCGGCCAAACUGGGACUGAGAUACUGCCCAGACUCCUACGGGAGGCAGCAGUGGGGAAUAUUGCACAAUGGGCGCAAGCCUGAUGCAGCGACGCCGCGUGAGGGAUGACGGCCUUCGGGUUGUAAACCUCUUUCAGCACCGACGAAGCGCAAGUGACGGUAGGUGCAGAAGAAGGACCGGCCAACUACGUGCCAGCCGCCGCAGUAA